GAAGUUGCUUUUUUUGUUUCCUGUUUUAAUCCCAUUUAACAACAUUUAGCCAGAUGAGUUUAAAAAUGUUAAAAUAUUACAUUUAAAAUAUUUUCAUAUAAAAACUGAAUAUUAGUAAAGAAAUAAUAAAUGCCAACUAGUUUUUUUCUCUCGUUUUAAUAAUUUGUUUAAAACAUUUAGUCAGAUUUAUGUUUAAAUUAUAAAGACAUUCUGAAAACCCAACUACUUUGCAUCCCAAGUGGCCUAAUGCAUAUUGUUACUAUUGUUCAAAGUACUGUUUACAUACGUGAUUUGUCAUGGUGACAUUGCCUAAUGCAACUGAAAGCAUUAAUAAAAGCACGCGUGCGAGUCUAUUGUGAUACAUUAUGAUGUUCCAGGUAUGUGUUUACAAUGAGAGACACGAGAAACACGUUUGUUCUGUUUCCCCCAGCAGGAGAAGGAGUGUAAAGGUUCUCCUCUCUCUCUCGUCUCUCUCUCUCUCUCUCUCUCUCUCUCUCUCUCUCUCUCUCUGUAAAGUUCUUUAACCUGUCUUAUCGCAGCUAUUGUUAGCGGUUUGUCCGUGGGUGCCGGUAAAUAAGGCAGCGGCAGCGGCAGCUAAUUCCCUUGACAUUUACACAUCUCUCACGGUGACUCACUUUCGGCUGGAAGGUAGAGAGAAAGCCAAAGUUAUCAAAAGACGGAUUUAUUGUUAUUCAUCCCUUCGUGGGGUUCAUAAACCGCGCUAGUCCCGUGUGUGUAUCUCGCCAUCCACGCCCACGCACUCGCUGUUGUUGACAGUGCCUGGCGUUCUUUCCUACAUUUACCUCAGUGACUGUAAUCUCAGAGAGCGCGUCAGCGUACCGGCUAGUGCGUCAUAAGAGGAAGCAUCACCUCACGGCGAGUGCACAGCCGUCGCGCGGCAAACGGAACACAGCACUGCCAUCUAUCUCAUGCUGCUGCUCUAAACAAAUCCCUGUCUCUAAUCCUCAAAUGCAACCAUUUACAUUCCCUUUCAAGGUCCGACAACAAAGGAAUGCUACACUAAGGCGGCUCGAGGUCACAUCUGACAUUGGCUAUCUCCCAUUUCUCGUCACCAUCUAUCAGUGGCCACAUGACACAGCAGUAUCUCCAAGCAACGUACAGUGAAUUCAGCAAAAGGUGAAAACACUGGGAGUGUGUUAAACUCACACGUACACAAAGUGUGAACACCGAGAUUACACAGAUAAACAUGAUAUUGCUUUUUCCUUAAGAGGGUAGAGGUUCAAAGCAAGUUCAACUGACACUGAAAAGGCAGUAGGGCUUUGAAAGUCUCAUUACCAAUAUAAGAUGUACUUACUGCAGAAUAUUGUGGAAUAAAAGAAAAAAAAGUAAAAAACAAAUAUUUAUUAUUAAUACUGUCUGUCAUUUUAAAACUAAAUUUUGCUUUAGUUGCAGUGGACAGCACUAAAAGUGCAGUGCUGUGAAACGAUUGAAUAUUUCCAGUCACCUGAUGCAAAGCCAGCUCCAUUCAUCCAAAUGUCAUCACUGCCAAGUUUAGAAAUUUCCCUUCCGUUUCAUCGUAGACAGUCGCAGACAAAGGGACUGAAAUGUCAAUCGAGCCAGAGUGAUCAGUAGAUACAGGACAUAUCAGCUUGUGUCUUCAUGGACCAUUUCCCGUAGGUGAGCCCCAUCAUUUUGUGACAUCUAGAUGCUAAUCCAGCUCCAUGGGUGGAGCGGAGAAGACGAUUGAGCAGUCGAGCAUCAUAAGGUUUAAAAUUAACAGAUAAUUACAGUGUGUCUCAUAGAUUCUUGAUAUAUCUGAAUAGAUCGCUGGACGGGCUGCUGUUAAGAUUGAUUUGAUGGAGUCUGGAUGGCUACCUGUGGAGGAACAGUUGCGUAAUUAGCAUUUUGGAUGCUCAGUAACAGAAGUGAAAUUACUGCCAUUGAAGAUUUGUAAAUUUAAGAUAAAGAUUUCUGCUUUUUAAAGUUAAAACUUACAGGCAAAUAUUGUGUGAUUAGAAUUUGGAAUCCAGAGCACUAAAUGAUCUAACAGCAAUGCAAAGUAAAACGAAACUCUUUUGUAACUCCCUUUGUAACAUUUUGGUGUGCAAACAAGGAGUUGGCAAAGAAAAUUCUUAGUUCCAUCUAAUGCAUGACCCACUUUGUGGUUAUUUUGCAUUUCAGAGACUAGAUAUUCUAAUACACACACCUACAGGAAGUCUGUGAAGGACAAAGGUCGCAAGUGGUUGAGCUCAAGAACUGAUGAGCACGCAAUCCUAACUUCCCUUCUUUAGUUUGUAACGCUACAGACAGGCGCCGCUCCAGUGACAGCACUGAGGGGCCAUGUUGAGAGAUGAAUGUGGACAAAAGAGCCUUGAAAUGCAGGUAGCAACCGCCCUACCCCCAUCAAGUGGUCUGGCACACCUAACAAAAACAUAACCUUAUUCACCCUACUUUGCUAAUGCAACAGAAAUACUAAAUCCAGGAUGCCAAUAUGUCUGUCGUGAAGGAGCUAAAAUGCCAGAAUUUGCAUUUAAUGCACAAAUGUAUACAUGCCAUGAUUGGCCCUGACCCUGCACCCUCGGCUGGCUUUACAUAAACUUCCCCACGUCUUUCUUCUGCAGUGCCUCCAUGGCAGCUGUGUCAACACACACAAGGGUCCUGACCUUAAACAAAACCCUCAUGAAAGUCAUUAUACACUGUCCCACUAAUUUACCCACAUUUGGAUAUCUGACAGCAGUGUGAAAUCGUAAAUACGCAAUAAAAAUAAGGGCUUGAGUCGGCGUGUUUGGUUUUAUAAUAACCUUAAAAUCACUGGGUCUCCCUCACUAACAAUUGCAUUGAUUAUUCAUCUUUAUACGCACAGGAGAACUUCUCAUGAACAAUUUUUGCCUAAUUUGCAACACAUGCAUGCGCACGUGAAUUUGUUCUUAACCUUGUUCUAAUGUUAAUGAAUUUGAAAUAUUCGAAAUGAG
rnacentral:lncRNA from 1 species